rnacentral:misc_RNA from 1 species
UUAUUUUGUUAUCAUAAAAGACGUUCUUGACUACAAUGUUUGUAAAGGUCCGAAGACCACGGUGCACAGGUGUAUGAAGGGAAAAGUGCUUGCGCACAUCUCUAAUGAUCCUUCCGCAGGUUCACCUACGGAAA